rnacentral:rRNA from 1 species
UACGUAGGGUGCGAGCGUUGUCCGGAAUUAUUGGGCGUAAAGAGCUCGUAGGCGGUGUGUCACGUCGGCCGUGAAAACCUGCAGCUUAACUGUGGGCGUGCGGUCGAUACGGGCAUCACUGGAGUUCGGCAGGGGAGACUGGAAUCCUGGUGUAGCGGUGAAAUGCGCAGAUAUCAGGAGGAACACCGGUGGCGAAGGCGGCUAUCUGGACAGAGUCUGACGCUGAGGCGCGAAAGCUAGGGGAGCAAACAGG